CCUACGGGAGGCUGCAGUGGGGAAUAUUGCACAAUGGGGGAAACCCUGAUGCAGCGACGCCGCGUGAGUGAAGAAGGAAUUCGUUAUGGAAAGCUCUAUCAGCAGGGAAGAAAAUGACGGUACCUGAGUAAGAAGCCCCGGCCAACAACGUGCCAGCAGCCGCUGUAAUACGUAGGGGGCAAGCGUUAUCCGGAUUUAACGGGUGUAAAGGGAGCGUAGUCGGCAGUGCAAGUCUGGAGUGAAAGCCGGGGGCUCAACCUCCGAACUGCUCUGGAAACUGUACGGCUGGAGUGCAGGAGAGGUAAGUGGAAUUCCGAGUGUAGCGGUGAAAUGCGUAGAUAUUAGGAGGAACACCGGUGGCGAAGGCGGCUUACUGGACUGUAACUGACGUUGAGGCUCGAAAGCGUGGGGAGCAAACAGGAUUAGAUACCCUUGUAGUC
rnacentral:rRNA from 1 species